rnacentral:rRNA from 1 species
UACGUAGGUGGCAAGCGUUGUCCGGAUUUACUGGGCGUAAAGAGCGCGCAGGCGGUCGUUCAAGUCGCGUGUGAAAGCCCCCGGCUCAACUGGGGAGGGUCACGCGAUACUGAUCGACUCGAAGGCAGGAGAGGGUAGUGGAAUUCCCGGUGUAGUGGUGAAAUGCGUAGAUAUCAGGAGGAACACCGGUGGCGAAGGCGGGUCUCUGGGCCGAUACUGACGCUGAGGAGCGAAAGCGUGGGGAGCAAACGGG